rnacentral:rRNA from 1 species
UACGAAGGGGGCUAGCGUUGCUCGGAAUCACUGGGCGUAAAGGGCGCGUAGGCGGAUCUUUAAGUCGGGUGUGAAAGCCCCGGGCUCAACCUGGGAAUUGCAUUCGAGACUGCAUAGCUAGGAUGCGGAAGAGGGAAGCGGAAUUUCCGGUGUAGCGGUGAAAUGCGUAGAUAUCGGAAGGAACAUCAGUGGCGAAAGCGGCUUCCUGGUCCAGCAUCGACGUUCAGGCACGAAAGCGUGGGGAGCAAACAGG